UUGGGAACCACUAUAACCAGAAAACUAAAACCAAAAAGACUGAACUGUCAGGGUAAAUGUAAGAGUGGCCAGAAGCAAGCUAAAGAUUGAAAAGUGAAGUAUUUGAGUCACCUUGUUGUUCAGAAGUUAUCAUGUCUGGAUUUUAAAUGCAGUUGAUUAUAGACUGGUAACACCUGAGACCAUUAAAGUAGGUGAGACACAUUCAAAUGUUUUUUGAAUGGAGAUAUCUAUAGUCUAGAUGUCUAAUUAUUAUUAUAAGUAUUUUCUAUAUA